AAUCAUAGUUCGGCAAAGUCGCCAAUCUAUUCAAGGAGAUCGUGAAGUUUUUCUUAAUCUUACUUAAAAAGCUCAAUAGUAACAAUGCCAUUGACACCAAAAGAACAUUACUGGAAACCCAUCAUUAUCAGAACGUUUCCUUCGGAAAUUACUUCGCGAACCGGAAGUCAUCCGAUACUUGAGCUUCCCCAUCUCCGAAAUGCUUUUUCCUUCUCCAACACCAUCGAAAUUGUAACCGGUGUUGGGAUCGCAUCUAUAUUGAUCCAAAUCCCACUUCGGAUCAUCGACCUGGUAUCCAUUCUCAUCCGCCAGGGAACAGAUCGUGCCGGGAUCCUGGCAUGGUGCUCCAGGGUGCGGACACGGACAUCCGUAAGCGGAUAACGAUGCCAGCGGUGAACACUGACUUCCGGCUCCAUUUUGAUCGGAGUAGACAAAAAGAAAUGCACUGACCUUUGUCAGGCUUAUACUUAGGAGAGCGCACUUUAAGGCCAACAUUGUUCCAAUGGGCGGUUGGUUCUGACCACAGCGUAUGAAAUCAGCCUGGGAACGCUCUGGGCUCGGAAAGCAUCCGCAUAUCCAAAAACAGAUUUUUUAUUGGUACAGAUCAAAUGUUUGGUUACGGUUUCGACUAACAAAUCUUCACACUAU